UACGUAGGUCGCAAGCGUUGUCCGGAUUUACUGGGCGUAAAGAGCGCGCAGGCGGCUGGUCAAGUCCGAUGUGAAAUCUCCCGGCUCAACUGGGAAACUGCAUCGGAAACUGAUCGGCUUGAAGAUGGGAGAGGGUAGUGGAAUUCCCGGUGUAGUGGUGAAAUGCGUAGAUAUCGGGAGGAACACCAGUGGCGAAGGCGACACGCUGGGCCGUACCUGACACUGAUGCGUGACAGCAUGGGGAGCAAACAGG
rnacentral:rRNA from 1 species